AGCGAGCACAAGUAACUUACAAAAAAAGAAGCAACUCGUAAGAGGCAGAGUAAGGCUUCAAAACAGGCAUGAUGGUUCUAGAGUCCACACACUUAACUCCAUGCCGUUAAGUUAGCUGCAAAACAAUUAAAUCAAUGACACAAUGACUAGUUAUUGUCACAGCAAAGAAGUACGAGACUUAAUAGGAGGUCACCAUUGGACUCGGUGCUCAAAGAGGAUCUUUUUGAAGGAAAAGAAGAUUCCAAGGAACCAGUCAAGAGAAGAGCCCUGUUUAGAAGAAAGAACAGUGAAAAGGCUUCCCCAACAAGCACAGGAAGAAUCUGAUGGGUUUUUAACUUCCUCUAAAGCUCGCCAAUUUAAUUCUGCCUUUUAUGUAGAGAGAAUAGUUUAGGAUGGCAGCCACUCAAGAAUACUGCAGUGUGUCCAUUCUGUGUGAGAGGCUCCUCUAUCAUUCAUUCCAGGAGGCAUGAAACCAGCAGUGUGAGAGAAUAUAAGGCACAAACAUUGAAUGAGAGAGCAGCUGGAAAUUUCUAUUCAUAGAAAUGCUUUCUUACAUGGUUUACAGGCCAGUCUACCAAGAAUGAAGCAAUACUCUUUGCUAGACUGUCAACAAGAAUCAAUCAGACAAUUACUUUAACAGACAUUGAUUGCACACCUUUUUGGCAUGACUCCCAAGCAACUGUUGGAAUAUCUCAAGCAAGACACCUGCAAAUGGAAUGGAAAAGAAUAACUGCUCUGAGAUUUCUCGCACUUCACUUACACUUCAACCAAGAUUUGUCCAAUAAGAAGAGUAAUGAUGCUUGUUGAAUAGGUGGUCUGAGAAAGAAAAUAUCCUCAACUACUCACCAAAAGCCUGGUGCCUACAUUUACAUGGAUGUACUGCCUUCAGAUAUUUUUUGUUCCCAGCACUGUAGUCCUGGGUGGACUGGCUAAUGGUAGACUGCAGCACUAAGCCUUACCAUGUCCUCAAUGGUACCUGGAUAUGUUUCAGUCUGCAGUGGUGUAUAGCACAUUGUCAUUCAUGGUGAAGUGAUUCCUUCACUGUGUUUGUCAGCUGUUCUAAACCUUGUUGAUCUU